CAGCAGAAGUUGGACCCGAAUCGCUGAGCAACAUGAGGACCAGAACCACGGAGCUGAAGAUGACAGGCCUGGUGUUUACAGAUGAAAUAGAAGAACAGGAAGAUGAAAAGGCGAAUGCAGAAAUGGUGUUUGGGAGAAAACUGGCCAUCAUCUCCGCCUGAAGAAAAGAAAACGGAGAUGAAGAUUCCAGCCGUGGUUUGGUCUGCGCCACCAGUCGCUGCCUGUUGGGUGAUCCUGAUGAUAAUCGUGGCUCUGCACAUCCACUGAGUAACAACACAGAUCACCUCCAUCCUAUUUAUUCACAUUAAAAGAAAGUUAUUAUUUAUUGCUUCUCACUGAGAACUUCUAGAGUUUCUG